UAGGGAAUCUUCGGCAAUGGGGGGAACCCUGACCGAGCAACGCCGCGUGAGUGAAGAAGGUUUUCGGAUCGUAAAGCUCUGUUGUAAGAGAAGAACGGGUGUGAGAGUGGAAAGUUCACACUGUGACGGUAUCUUACCAGAAAGGGACGGCUAACUACGUGCCAGCAGCCGCGGUAAUACGUAGGUCCCGAGCGUUGUCCGGAUUUAUUGGGCGUAAAGCGAGCGCAGGCGGUUAGAUAAGUCUGAAGUUAAAGGCUGUGGCUUAACCAUAGUAUGCUUUGGAAACUGUUUAACUUGAGUGCAGAAGGGGAGAGUGGAAUUCCAUGUGUAGCGGUGAAAUGCGUAGAUAUAUGGAGGAACACUGGUGGCGAAAGCGGCUCUCUGGUCUGUAACUGACGCUGAGGCUCGAAAGCGUGGGGAGCAAACAGGAUUAGAUACCCUGGUAGUCCACGCUGUAAACGGUGGGUACUAGGUGUGGGGUCCAUUCCACGGGUUCCGUGCCGUAGCUAACGCUUUAAGUACCCCGCCUGGGGAGUACGGCCGCAAGGCUA
rnacentral:rRNA from 1 species